GGGGAAGGUGGGGAUAGGGAUGGAGACCGGAACCCGGAGGCCUCCUGUGCUGGGCACCCUCCCUGGGGAGGCUGGGGAGACCAGACCUGCUGAAGUGGGGCAUCUGAAGGAAAACUGGCCACAGGCUGGGGAAAGUGGGGUGGAGCGUGAAGCAGUCAGCAUGGACAGUGGGGUGUGGGGUGAAUAGGAGCCUCUGCACCUCUAAAGGGAAGUGAGUAAAGGGGGCACAGUGCCCAUGGGACAUUUCAAGGAAAAGGACUGAGGCUGCAGCAUGGAAGGGCUUAGUUAGACAAGAAGAAGCACUUCCAACAUGAAAGGCCUGCAGCAGGCUACCAGGCAUCUGGAGAUUGUUAGGGGAAGAGUCCCUGAGAGCUGGAGGCUGGGACCCCCUCAACCAGACCCCAGACUGCCCUACUCAACGGGGGUCCCAAAUGCCCACUGCAACUAGGUACAGGGUCUGUGUGUGGUUGUGGGGGAUUGGCAUUGGGAGACAUGGGAGGCAAAGAGCUGGGCGUGGCCAGGCCAGGCCUCUGGCUUCCAAGAACUCCUAAUUCCAGGGGACACCCAGUGGGGGAAUAGCUGGCUGCUGGGAGGUCCACAGCCUAGGGCUGGUUGGCCAAGCAGCCAACUCUGGUCCCUGCUCACCAGUGCCCUAUGGCUUCUAAUGCAUUUCUCCUCUUCCUCCCUUGCUGCACCUGCAGAUGCAGAAGCCAGCUACCAGCCUCCUCAAAACCCCUACUACUACGUGGAUGGGGACCCCCACUUCAUCAUCCAAGUUCCGGAGAAAGACGAUGCCCUCUGCUUCAACAUCGAUGAAGCCCCAGGCACAGUGCUGCGCCUUAUUCAGGACCCAGUCACAGGCCUCACAGUGAACGGGCAGAUCAUCGGCGACAAGAGA
rnacentral:sRNA from 1 species